AAACCGUUGAAAGGGGAAGCGAAUGGAGUUAGCAAUUCGCCCUGCCAGAUUCAGUUGUUCGCGCAUCGCGACGAGCGCGCACUCGAUCCGCAUGGACGAGACGCGCCCGGGUGCGACGCACGGACGGCGCACUUCUGGAGGGCGAGCGUCAGCGUCUGUCGCCGACGAGCGAUAAGGUCGCAAGAAAGGUAGACGUACCCGCCCGGGCACGUUGUUAAGACUCGCGUACGCAUAGCGCGACGACGACAGUGAAUGCUGACGACCAUACGGCUCCAUCCGAUCCGUCUUGAACCACGGACCAAGGAGUCUAACAUGUACGCGAGUCUCCGGGCGAACGAAACCCGCGGGCGCAAUGAAAGUAAAGACCGUCCUUGUGACGGUUGAGGUGAGAAGCGCGUUCUCGCUAACGCGCCGCAUCAUCGACCGACCUAUUCUGCUCUCAGAAAGGUUUGAGUAAGAGCGUAUCUGUUGGGACCCGAAAGAUGGUGAACUAUGCCUGAAUAGGGUGAAGCCAGUGGAAACACUGGUGGA
rnacentral:rRNA from 1 species